rnacentral:rRNA from 1 species
CACCCUAACAGCUAGCCCGGACUCAAAACACAACAAACACCAUUAAUACCCCCAAAGGCAUAAACCUAAACUAAAACAAACCAUUUUUCCGCCCGAGUAUGGGAGACAGAAAAGGAUCUAGGCGCCAUAGAGAAAGUACCGCAAGGGAAAGCUGAAAGAGAAAUGAAACAACGCAGUAAAGGAUAGGAAAGCAGAGAUUACCCCUCGUACCUUUUGCAUCAUGAUUUAGUCAGUUUACCCGAGCAAAGGGACACUUUAGUUCGAAACCCCGAAACUGAGCGAGCUACUCCAAGACAGCCUAUUGUAGGGCAAACCCGUCUCUGUGGCAAAAGAGUGGGAAGAGCUUUGAGUAGAGGUGACAGACCUACCGAGCCCAGUCAUAGCUGGUUGCCUGAGAAUUGAAUAGAAGUUCUACCUUUUUGUUUCUCCCCCCUCAUCCGGCCAGCCCUCUCCCCGGCCAAGAGAAAGUUAAAGAGCAAUUCAAGAGAGGGACAGCUCUCCUGAAAGAAGAUACAACUUUGUUAGAAGGUAAAAGAUUAAACAAAUAAAGGAACAGCACCUAGGUGGGCCUAAAAGCAGCCAUCCCGAAAGAAAGCGUUAAAGCUCAAGUGCUUAUGCCCCUACAAUUUCGAAAACCAACUCUUACACCACUUCACAUAUCAGGCCCUUCCAUGCAACCAUGGAAAAGAUUCUGCUAGAAUGAGUAAUAAGGAAGCCCCGGCUUCCUCCGACCCGCCCGUGUAAUCAGAACAGACACUAACUGAAAAUUAACGCCCCCAAUUAGCAGAGGGAAGUGAGUAAGCCUGCUUAGAACUAGAAAACCGCUCACUAGAUAGCGUUGGCCCUACACAGGGGCGCCUGAGGAAAGACAAAAGGAAAAAGAAGGAACUCGGCAAACACUGGCCUCGCCUGUUUACCAAAAACAUCGCCUCUUGCAAAGCUUAUAUAAGAGGUCCCGCCUGCCCUGUGACGUAAGUUUAACGGCCGCGGUAUUUUGACUGUGCGAAGGUAGCGUAAUCACUUGUCUUUUAAAUAGAGACCUGUAUGAAUGGCAUAACGAGGGCUAAGCUGUCUCCUUUUUCCAGUCAAUGAAAUUGAUCUGCCCGUGCAGAAGCGGGCAUGAGCCCAUAAGGCGAGAAGACCCUAUGGAGCUUAAGACAUAAGAGGAGACUCCGUAUAACCCCCUAGUCAAAAGGGUCUAACUAAGUAGCCCCUCCUCCCUGUCUUUGGUUGGGGCGACCGCGGGGAACCAAAAAACCCCCACGUGGAAUGGGGCAAUGCCCCUCAUGCCAGAGCCACAGCUCUAACAAACAGAAUAUCUGACCAAUAAGAUCCGGAACUUACCGAUCAACGGACCGAGUUACCCUAGGGAUAACAGCGCAAUCCCCUUCUAGAGCCCAUAUCGACAAGGGGGUUUACGACCUCGAUGUUGGAUCAGGACAUCCUAAUGGUGCAGCCGCUAUUAAGGGUUCGUUUGUUCAACGAUUAAAGUCCU